rnacentral:lncRNA from 1 species
AUUUCACCUGAAGCAGAAUUUUAAAACAUGAGCAUAUUUCACGCAACUGCCAUUUAAAAACAAAAGCUAAGAAGGCGAUGGAAAAAUACAAAAGAAAAUCAAGCUAUUUACUACAGCGCCACCAAGUGACCAACCUCGCAAUUCCCUGUAAAACCCAAACAGUAAAUAUGUAAAUGAAAAUGCUGUAGCCAGAAUCCCAGAGGGAUGCUCUGAUUGAACCACGGGAUUUCAGCAAAGAAAGAGGCCUUAACAGAAUAGAAAGGUCUUACUUGUAGUACAACAGAGCAUAAGUGAGUUCAUGGUUCAAAAUAUGAAGUGCAAAUAAGGCAGAUGACUGUGGAUAAAGUUGUAACAUUAGGUUCUGACUGGGCAACAAUCUGACAAAUGACACUGAGCUGGAAUGAUUUUGAAGGAGAAUCUGCCUGCAUCGCUUCCUGUAUUCUGUUUUAAAAUUCAGUUCUUGUGAAGACAAAGGUUCUGCUUACACAAAUGGACUUGAGAGAAACAUUGUUCCCAGCUUAAUUACCCGACAAGAUGGAGUCAGUCUCUAGGUAGAAACUGUUCAAAUGUGGCAGACAGGCUUGCAGUCAGCUUGCUUUAGAAGGCUUUGCCAAACUGUCCCGAAGAUGGCGCCACGUGCUCAGCUUUAGAAAAGCCUGCCUGUGCCUUUCAGGCUGGUGUGUGAAAUCACCAAGCUCCAAACACGGACACAGAUCUGUAGGGACUGUUGCCUGGAAAUACCAUUCCUCUGUUAAAGCGUGAAGAUUAAAAGUAUGAUUGGAUUAUCUCUAAUUUUUUCAUUUGGUGGAGAGAGUACAGAAAAAGAUAAUUCAAGAAGUAUUUCUUUGAGGUUAAAUCUAUA